CACGUAGGGGGCAAGCGUUGUCCGGAAUUAUUGGGCGUAAAGAGCUCGUAGGCGGUCUGUCGCGUCGGCUGUGAAAUCCCGAGGCUCAACCUCGGGUCUGCAGGUCGAUACGGGCAAACUAGAGUAUUGCAGGGGAGACUGGAAUUCCUGGUGUAGCGGUGAAAUGCGCCAGAUAUCAGGAGGAACACCGGUGGCGAAGGCGGGUCUCUGGGCAAUAACUGACGCUGAGGAGCGAAAGCGUGGGGAGCGAACAGG
rnacentral:rRNA from 1 species